GAUGAAUGGGAGCUUCUCGAGCAGAGAAGGGCCAUGAGUGUGGCAGGCAGAGAACAUGUCAUGUGUAAAAGUGGUAGAGGGAGGCAAGUAGAGCCAGAACUGCUGGGGGUGAGGAGGGGGCAUUGCUGAGAGAUGAGCCCAGACAGAUGGGCAGGGGCCAGAUCCCAGCAGGCUUUUAAAAAGGAAACUGUCAGUAAAGGACUGCUGAAGAGAUUAAAGUGUGAAAAUGGAGUGGUCAGAUCGGCAUUUUCCAAAGAGAUCUCUGGUGCCAUGUGGAAAAUGGGUUUGCUGGGGCCAGAUUGGAGGCAGGAGGAUUUCACUGUCACCAGAUGGGGAAGCUGAGGCCUGGAGAAGGAGUGGGCUCACCCGGGAUCACCUAGCUAGUCAAUGACAGAAGCAGGACUUCGACCCAGGGACUGCCUCGAUGGCUGCAAGUUUUUCCGUUGUUCCUCAUCUCUCCUCAUGGAUGCUUCGUUCUAACCCCCCCCCACCAUGUAUCUCCAAUACACCCAGCCACUUAGAGUUC